GUGAACAUGACACAAACGUUUCUCUGUGUGCUCAGUGAGGGAAAAAUCCUCACAUGCCUGGAAGGCUGUGGAGCUGAGACCCAGCCUGCCCUGCUCCCAGCGUGGCCGACCACAGUGCCCAGCAUCAGAGGAGGAAGAGUGUGUGUGUGUGUCUGGAGAACGCCACUGCUCACAUGCAGUCUGGUGCCGCUUGGCAAGCUGCAAGCACCGUGCCCACGUCUCAUCGGCUUCAUCUGUGCAAAUGGUGUUAAUUCCUGUGGACAUCCCUCUCAAUUAGAAGUGUGGCAGCUGAUAAACAGCAACGUUUAUGCAAGAUAAGUCCCAGUAAUGCUUUCAAAAUAAACGCUAGAAACCUGGACCAGCAUCAAAA